UCUUGAUUACAAUGCUUAUGGAAGGACUGACGGUCUAAUGAUUGAGCAAAACCGAACCGCCUGUUACAAAUUCAUAGAGCAGUUUUCUCAGUGCAUCUCAAAGCACUUCUCUCUUAUGCAAAAACAGAGUGAGUGCCCCGAGGAGUGCAGAGAAGCAGUAGCAUCUCUGAUAUAUGCCGCAGCCCGAUUUGCCGAUUUGCCGGAAGUACGCACCCUUAGAACGUUGUUUACUGAGAAAUA